rnacentral:rRNA from 1 species
AGCUCCCCGAGUGGUGGGGACUAUUAUUGGGCCUAAAGCGUUCGUAGCCUGCUUAGCAAGUCUUUCGUUAAAUCCACCGAUCCAAUCGUUGGUCUGCGGGAGAUACUACUAGGCUAGGGGGCGGGAGAGGCUGACGGUAUUCUUGGGGUAGGGGUGAAAUCCUGUAAUCCCAAGAGGACCACCAGUGGCGAAGGCGGUCAGCUAGAACGCGCUCGACGGUGAGGGACGAAAGCUGGGGGAGCGAUCCGGAUUAGAUACCCGAGUAGUCC